rnacentral:rRNA from 1 species
UACGUAGGGGUGCGAGCGUUGUCCGGAAUUACUGGGCGUAAAGAGCUCGUAGGUGGUUUGUCGCGUUGUCCGUGAAAACUCACAGCUCAACUGUGGGCGUGCGGGCGAUACGGGCAGACUGGAGUACUGCAGGGGAGACUGGAAUUCCUGGUGUAGCGGUGGAAUGCGCAGAUAUCGAGGAGGAACACCGGUGGCGAAGGCGGGUCUCUGGACAGU